AUUGAACGCUGGCGGCAUGCCUUACACAUGCAAGUCGAACGGCAGCACGGGUGCUUGCACCUGGUGGCGAGUGGCGAACGGGUGAGUAAUAUAUCGGAACGUACCUUAUUGUGGGGGAUAAGGAAGCGAAAGCUGUGCUAAUACCGCAUCCGAUCUAUGGAUGAAAGCGGGGGAGCGCAAGAGCUCGCCCGAUUGGAGCGGCCGAUAGCAGACUAGGUAGUUGGUGAGGUAAAGGCUCACCAAGCCGACGAUCUGUAGCUGGUCUGAGAGGACGACCAGCCACACUGGAACUGAGACACGGUCCAGACUCCUACGGGAGGCAGCAGUGGGGAAUUUUGGACAAUGGACGCAAGUCUGAUCCAGCCAUUCCGCGUGCAGGACGAAGGCCUUCGGGUUGUAAACUGCUUUUGUACAGAACGAAAAGGUCGCUAUUAAUACUAGGGGCUCAUGACGGUACUGUAAGAAUAAGCACCGGCUAACUACGUGCCAGCCGCCGCCGCAG
rnacentral:rRNA from 1 species